rnacentral:lncRNA from 1 species
UUCAAUUCAAAGUAAAAAUUAGGGAACAUAAUUUUUUAGAAAACCCAAUUCACCCCCCCUCUUGGGUUGUCAUCUUGGGCAACAAGUGGUAUCAGAGCAGGUGCUCUUCUAUUAAUUAUAGUCUUAACCGACUAGAGCUAAAGAUUAUGACAACCCCACAUAACAUAUUAUUUGCCGAGGGACUUUCCAUAAACAGACCUCCACUGUUUGAUGGAACUUACUAUAUUCAAUGGAAAGCUAGAAUGAAAAUUUUUGUUCAAUCACAAA